rnacentral:ncRNA from 1 species
AUAAAUAAAUUUUUUAUGAUUUAGGGAAUUUUUUAUGCAUUUAUUUUACAUAUAAAUUUUAGUGUUAAUUUUUAUUUAUUUUAAUAAUAUUUAAUUUUAUUUGUAGUAAUUAAUAUUAAAAAUUUAAGAAAUUAAGAUUUAGUAAUAUUUAAAUUAAUAACUAAUUUUGUGCCAGCAGUUGCGGUUAUACAAAAAUUAAAUAAAAUUUUAUUAGCUAAUUAAUUAACAUAAAUAAAAAUAAUUUAAUUAAAAUAUUAAAUUAUUAAGUGAAAUUUUAAUUUAAUUAAAAAUUAAUUUUUAAUUGUGAAUUAAUAAAUUUUAUUUAUAAACUAGGAUUAGAUACCCUAUUAUUAAAAAAUUAAAUUUUUAAUGCUAAAAUAGUAUGUAAUUAUUUAUUGAAACUUAAAUAAUUUGGCGGUAUUUUAGUUCAUUUAGAGGAAUCUGUUUAAUAAUUGAUAAUCCACGAAUAAUUUUACUUAAUUUAAAAUUUUGUAUAUCGUUGUUAAAAAAAUAUUUUUAAAUGAUAAUAAUAUUUAAAAAUUUAAAAAUAAAAUUAAAUCAGAUCAAGAUGCAGAUUAUAAUUAAGAAUAUAAUGGAUUACAAUAAAUUUAUUUAAAUGAAUAUAAAAUUGAAAUAUUUAAUUGAAAUUGGAUUUAAAUGUAAUUUUAUUUAAUUUAUUAAAAUGAUUAAAAAUUAAAAUAUGUACAUAUUGCCCGUCGCUUUCAUUAAUAAAUUGAAAUAAGUCGUAACAAAGUAGAGGUACUGGAAAGUGUUUCUAGAAAGAA